rnacentral:rRNA from 1 species
UACGGGGGGGGGCAAGCGUUGUUCGGAAUUACUGGGCGUAAAGGGCUCGUAGGCGGCCAACUAAGUCAGACGUGAAAUCCCUCGGCUUAACCGGGGAACUGCGUCUGAUACUGGAUGGCUCGAGUUUGGGAGAGGGAUGCGGAAUUCCAGGUGUAGCGGUGAAAUGCGUAGAUAUCUGGAGGAACACCGGUGGCGAAGGCGGCAUCCUGGACCAACACUGACGCUGAUGAGCGAAAAGCCAGGGGAGCAAACGGGG